UUCACAAUUCGAAUAACAGCAAAUGCGCGAACAGCUUUUUUCCCCUAUCGAUCAGCCCUCACUCAAUAACAACCGCGCGUGGGUGACCGGGCAAAAAUACGCCUAAAAUUCGAUGGCAUAAGCGCUCAGAAGUUCACGGCCGACACCUUCUGAUUCGUCCUUGAACCCUUGGCCUCAUGAACCCGCGCGCGGACAUCCGUCUCUCGGCGAUAUUCGAACCAACUUCCGGCACUCGGGAGCAGCGUACGCGCCGACGCGCGCAUCCCGUCGUCGUCGUCGGGACGCAUCUGCGCAUUUUCCAGCUGAGUUUCCCUCACAGGCGAGGUUCUGCCUGUCCCGGAUUGUCGUGUAUGCGCCAAACACACCAGGCCGGCAGGAAAAUCAAGACUCGACUAUCGUUCACAUAUCGUUGAAUAAUUAUGUACAAAACGGUGCGGAAAGGUGAUGCCAGUCUGCAGUACACGAUACUGCCUCAGACGGAUCAGUUCUCGUCCGGCGGAUUCCCGCAGGCUUCCGGCAAACCCCGGCCGAGGAUCAUCAAGUACACAAUGGCUACUAUAAUGGUGCUGAUCAUACUAUCCUGCGUGGCCACGCCGUUCCUGAUGAAUCAGAACGAUCACAAUCUUUUCGCCAGCACGAUGCGAGCGAUUAGCCGAGUCGAACCGGUAAGGAACACGUCAAGGCAUCAAAUUGAAGACACUGGUGACAGUACAAACAAAGACAAGAUCCCAACCACAGUGGUAUCGACGACUGAGGUUACCAGAAGAAAAGAGGACGGCAUGACCUCCUUUAGCGUAAUCCUCCAGGACGAAGAGGAGGAGGAGGCCGUGGUUGAUGACGCCACAUUAGCAGGUUUACUCUUUUCAGGUUCUCUCUUUUCAGACAUGCCGGAAAUUAGUACGCAAGUGAUUCCGAGCAUGGAAACGUCAACGAGAGAUCAUCAAACGACAAUGACUUCCGCUCUAUCGUCGACAACUUUCUCAGCACUGUCGACGACAUCGAAGGCGUCUUCGAGCGGUACGACGGAGGAGACGAAGAGUACACUGAGCACGCCCAGGAAGCCGAAGAUGCCGAGGGUGACCUUGAAGUUGCGGGAGAACGAGACCAUACCGCAGAUGUACGUCAAGGCGGGCAUAGCCUCCUACAAGAAGGGCAACAUCACCACCAGCGUCCUUGCGCCACGUCUGAGUCUCGAGGGUCUGAUAUUCAAAACGCCGAAAGGCACGAUAAAACCCUGGCCUCAGAAGUGGAUCUUCAGCGACCCCUCCAACCCCACCAUCAAGUGGGGAGUGUUCUCUCUGGACCAUCCACCAAUGAUAACAUUUUAUGCGAUCUUUGGGGUAAUGUGUGCAACGGCAUGUGGUCUAAUCGCCCUGAUAAUUUACGUGCAGCGUAUUGCGCGUAAACAGUUCAAACGUCCAGGACAGAACAUCGAGGAGCCGGAGGUCGAGGAACCGGAGGUCGAGGAUUCGGAGAUCGAGGAGUCAACCCUGUUGGGCGCCGAGAGCCAAGAGACCAAGGAAAAGGAGUAAUCCCGACGUCGACAUGAGCAUGACACACCCGUACAUAGCGCGCGUAAGACUUGCCUAUUUUUACAAAGACACGUCGGUUAGAUUUAGGGUCUUCCACGCCGAAGGAUAGAAGAUCAAUAAACGCGGCCGAAGUGUGAGAAAGAUUUUUUUACGAUGUAGCCAGCUAACUAGAGAAACGUGGUACGAACGCAUGAACAACGUGAUUGCCCGGCCUGAGGUGAAGAUCUGUACGAGAUUCGUUUCCUGCGAGAUCCAUUGCUCACUGCGUUACUGUCACACCCCGGAUCUCGAAAAGGAAAAAGUGCUUUUUAACUUUCUGACGCCAGUCGUAUUCUAUCUGCGUACAAAAGUAGCCGUACUGCCAGCUACAAUAAAGGGCCAGCUUUGGAAUCCCGUUUAAUUAAAAGUGAUGUUUGAACGAACGUGCUAUCAAGUAUAUCGUACGAUCGAUAUCCACGAGCCGUUUACUCGGCGAUAUCUGUCACACGGGGAAACGUAAUAUCAUAUUUUGCAAAAUAUGACGAACGGAUUGACGAUAUUGCAUUGGAAGUAUGUCAGAAAUAUUUGUGUGAUAGAAAUAUCGAAUAAAUCCGAACUAUGCGCGGUAAAGCUUCAUCAAUGUAUUGUUUCGCUAAAAUAAUAUACUAUUAUUUACAUAAAUUUAUACAGAAUUGGGAUACAGAAUUAAUUCAUGAAAUUGAUAUGAAACUGAUAUUCGCAUAGAUAAUACCUUUAAUUAAACAGAUAUAUUGUGUCAAAACUGAAAUUGACGUAGAUAUGCAUUAUGAUCAUUAGAUUCUUUAUGAGAGAAGAGAGAGAGAGAGA
rnacentral:misc_RNA from 1 species